rnacentral:lncRNA from 1 species
GUUCAGCAAAACAAGCUUAGACGGAACAGAGUGAGGUGUCUGGGCUCAGGAGUAAAAGAAACACCUUCCUUCCCUCACAUCCGUUUGUGGUUUGUUUAAGAAGAAGAGGAAAAAAAAAAAAAAGAGGGGGGAAAAGCGCUCAACUCUCCCCCAAGCCGCGGCGCGCACCCGUCGGCGCCGAGCGCGCAGCCUGCUCCACCGCCGCCUCUUGGUCCCGCCGCCGCCGCUGCCGCCGCCGCCGGGCAGAGGCCGGGGACCGGAGAAAGGAGGAGCGGAGAAGGAGAAGGAGGAGAGCACGGCCUGGCUGGGACAGAAGCGGUGGGACCCUGGGAGGCCUCCGCUGUGCCCGUGCCGCGCUCCUCGGGACCAGCGCGUCGCACACAAAGGGGCUGCCGAGCCAGAGCCACCAGCGGCCUCAGGGCACCGUGGGGAGCGCGCAGCUAGGGGGCGCUGUGGCGCACCCCGCCCCGCAGCCCCGCCCCCGGCCCUCCCCGGCCCCACCCCACUCCCACCGCCCUCUCCGCGGCCGUCCCCACCCCUAUCUCCGCGACCCCCACUCCUCCUCGGCUGUUCCCCAACCCUGUCACUGUGCUCCCCUCCCUACUCCCGGCCCGUAGUGGAGGUGACUUUCCUGCGCAGCGCCGCUUCUGAGGGCGGAGAACCCACAGGGAGUGCGACCCCUUUGCACGCUGUGAGUGGGCAACUGUCCGAGGGACUCGAGCCGAUCGAAGGCUGGACGCCCUAUAGGGCUCUUGGCAGUCCACGAAAGACCUGGAGUCCGCCUCCCCAUUUCUCCGGUCGGUGAGUGGCAGGAGGAAAUCGCCAAACAUGUUUUCCCGCUUUGCCUCCCCAACUCGGAAACUUGCAACUUGCCGUGUCCUGGAGGUUGAGACAAUUUGGGGUCUCUUGGCUGCCGUCCAACAGAUUUAUCUCUGAGGGCAGUGUCCUUGGUGAGAGGUCCAAGUAGGUGUGGGCGACAUUGUCCUCCAUCUCAUGAGGGAGCAGCCCUGCACACUAGGGCCCAAAACUCUGCGAAGGAGCUUGGAAGUUCUUCAUCCGUUCCACUUGUUUUGCUACUCCACACACCCUUCUAGGACAUGUUGAUUGCCAACUGCUCUGUGCAGCUUUCCCAUAGCUGUCUGUUCCCGUGCAUUUCGGAGCACCAAGCAAAUACGAGCAGAGAGACCUGGAAAAAAAAAUGAUGAAGACAGUAUUAAUGAUAAAAUUAACAUGGCUGAGUGAAUUGUCAAUGCAAGUUCCUUUACUAACUCUUUGUUAAGUUUUGCUUUGUACUCCUUACAUCCUCUUUCUCUUAAGCCAUUGUUUUAAUUUCUUCUCGUUAUCAUUUUUAAAAGUAACAGAAAUACAGCUUUCUUCCUACCUUCACGAUUGACUUGGUGGAGGUUGGGUUGCAAAGAGGAAGCAGUAAGAAAAAAUAAUUAUUCUAUACAUUCACAAGUCCUUCAAGGCACAAAAUAAAAGUAAGAAAUAGAAAAUAUGUCCUUUCUCCUAAUAAAGGUCUUUAUAAUAAAAUUUAAAUGAAGUUUUGUGUUUCAUAACAGCUUCCCAAAUACUGUUGUAGAUACUAAAAUGUGCCUGUAUGUAUUUCCUUCCACAAUAAUAAUAGUAAUAAUAAACUUUUUUAGGUCCAAAUUAAACAUUUCUCAGCUUAAAUUUCUAUCCUCAAUCCAACAUUUAUUAUAUCAAAACUUGAUUUUUAAAAAUAAAACUUUCUUGGAAUUC